rnacentral:rRNA from 1 species
CGAACGGGUGAGUAACGCGUAAUCAACCUGCCUCAAAGAGGGGGACAACAGUUGGAAACGACUGCUAAUACCGCAUAAGCCCACGGCUCGGCAUCGAGCAGAGGGAAAAGGAGCAAUCCGCUUUGAGAUGGCCUCGCGUCCGAUUAGCUAGUUGGUGAGGUAAUGGCCCACCAAGGCGACGAUCGGUAGCCGGACUGAGAGGUUGAACGGCCACAUUGGGACUGAGACACGGCCCAGACUCCUACGGGAGGCAGCAUG